rnacentral:rRNA from 1 species
UUGGGAAUAUUGGACAAUGGGGGAAACCCUGAUCCAGCAAUGCCGCGUGGGUGAUGAAGGCCUUCGGGUUGUAAAGCCCUUUUGGCGGGGACGAUGAUGACAGUACCCGCAGAAUAAGCCCCGGCUAACUUCGUGCCAGCAGCCGCGGUAAUACGAAGGGGGCUAGCGUUGUUCGGAAUUACUGGGCGUAAAGGGCGCGUAGGCGGCCGUGCAAGUCAGAUGUGAAAGCCCUGGGCUCAACCCAGGAGGUGCAUUUGAUACUGCAUGGCUAGAGUGUCGGAGAGGAUGGUGGAAUUCCCAGUGUAGAGGUGAAAUUCGUAGAUAUUGGGAAGAACACCGGUGGCGAAGGCGACCAUCUGGACGACAACUGACGCUGAGGCGCGAAAACGUGGGGAGCAAACAGGAUUAGAUACCCUGGUAGUCCACGCCGUAAACUAUGCGUGUUGGACGUUGGCGAGCCUAGCUCGUCGGUGUCGCAGCUAACGCGUUAAACACGCCGCCUGGGGAGUACGGCCGCAAGGUUA